CCUACCACUUUUUGUUUGCAUGCUUGUAAUCUCGAUCGGUGCCUCGUAAGUUCUCAAAGGCAUACGAGAUUCUUCGGCACGUCGCACGAAGCAAGUAAGAAUUGUUAUUACAUGUGACUCAAUUUAUUUUGAUGCGGCUAAGAAUAAGAAAUUGAACAACUGCCAGUACGCCAUGCCGCGAUCCGUGGAAUUUAACAGCCUGCUGGGGACCAUGCCAAUCGGGUUGUCAGCGUGGCUUCUGUUGAGUUUAGCUGGUGCCAUGUGCGAAUCGACCUGUGACCAGUUGCAUGGGCAGUUUGCGGCUAACAAUAAUGCGGUCGCUGCUGCUCAUAACGCGAUCACCGACAUAGACUGGCCUCUUACUGAUGAUCUGGAACGUGAAAAGGCGUACCUGGCUGGAAACAUUUGUCGCAACUCAAGCACGGCGGCACAACACUUGACAGACUUUGCCCGUCUUUGCACAAAUGAUGAGAGGAACGAGUUAAUGUCCUUGAAGUACGGAUGGACGUACGUUGCAUCCUUUGGUGCUCUGACACGAUUGUCGACCUAUCGACACAACCUCUCCGCUUCCUAAAGGCCGUAGAUUAUUGCGAAUGGAAACUACGAUCGGUGGGGUUAUAGUGGAUGGCUGGUGUUGCGCCCUACGCAUUCAACAUAACCACUGCUGCGGAAGCGAAAGAGCAUACGUGCAAUAUUCUUCAGCGGAUUCUGGAGCGCCUAAGCGACUUCGCUUACAGAUCCCAAAUGACCGUCGCGUGUGGCGUGAAUGCCGUUAUUACUAUCAAGGAGACCUAUAAGUUGCUGCAUACCAGCAUCUGCCAAUUAAUGAUUUAGCGGCCUCUGGUAUAAUUGCGUUUUCGUUACAAAUAAAUAUGGCAUAACUUGCAUAACAUAAUAACGUACGCGUUCAACGCGUACGGCUGAUCCUUGGCUUUUUGUUCAGAUGCCGUCUGCAAUAAAAAGCUUCGUAGCAGUAGUUAUCGGUUCUUCGGUUGCUUCAGAAAUCAGUCAGCUUGAGAAAAUAUACACAUAAUACAAAUCCGAUUUUCUUAGUACAGAAACUUAUUAAAAAUUCACUAAGUUGUUUCCGAUAUUUAUAGUAUCGGAUUCGACGUGUGUC